GACGGAGGGGGCAAGCGUUGUCCGGAAUCACUGGGCGUAAAGCGCGUGUAGGCGGUCGUGUGCGUCGGUGCUGAAAGCGCCCGGCUUAACCGGGCGAGGCGUGCCGAUACGAGGCGACUGGAGGCAGGGAGAGGGCAGCGGAAUUCCGGGUGUAGCGGUGAAAUGCGUGGAGCUCCGGAGGAACGCCGGUGGGGUAGCCGGCCGCCUGGGCCUGACCUGACGCUGAGACGCGACAGCGUGGGGAGCAAACCGG
rnacentral:rRNA from 1 species